GAUCCUAGCUCAGGAUGAACGCUAGCUACAGGCUUAACACAUGCAAGUCGAGGGGCAGCAUGAAAGGAACUUCGGUUCUUUUUGAUGGCGACCGGCGCACGGGUGCGUAACGCGUAUCGAACCUGCCUCAUACUCGGGGAUAGCCUUGCGAAAGUAAGAUUAAUACCCGGCGGUCUCGGAUGGCCGCAUGACAGUCCGAGUGAAGAUUUAUCGGUAUGAGAUGGCGAUGCGUCCCA
rnacentral:rRNA from 1 species